rnacentral:rRNA from 1 species
CACGUAGGGGGCGAGCGUUGUCCGGAAUCAUUGGGCGUAAAGAGCGCGCAGGCGCCCGGCAAGUCGGGUGUGAAAUCCCGGGGCUCAACCCCGGGACUGCAUUCGAUACUGCCGGGCUAGAGGUAGGUAGGGGAGAUCGGAAUUCCUGGAUCGUAGCGGUGGAAAUGACGCAGAUAGUCAGGAGGAACGACCGGUGGCGAAGGCGGAUCUCUGGGCCUUACCUGACGCUCAAGCGCGAAAGCUAGGGGAGCGAACAGG